rnacentral:lncRNA from 1 species
GUCUUUUCUAGGGCCACACCCAUGGCAUAUGGAGGUUCCCAGGUUAGGGGUCUAAUCAGAGCUGUAGCCGCCAGCCUACACCAGAGCCACAGUAAUGCGAGAUCCCAGCCGCGUCUGCAACCUACACCACAGCUCACGGCAACACCAGAUCCUUAACCCACUGAGCAAGGCCAGGCAUCGAACCUGCAACCUCAUGGUUCCUAGUCGGAUUUGUUAACCACUGUGCCACGACAGGAACUCCGCUGCAUAUUUUAUAGAUUGAUGCCAGUUUGAUGCUCUGUGGCCUGUGUUUUUUGGCAUGAUAAAGGAGUAUCUUCAAAGCCUGAAAGACCUUCUCCGACUACCCAAAAGUUUACUCCUCCCACUGUUAGAAACAUCUCAGGAACAUCAGGCAAACCCUGGCUCGGGUAGCUUGAACUGACCUUCGGUGGCUAGACACUAAGACGUUCUCAAGCCCAUCCAUAAAAGAGAUCAGUGAUCAAUAUUUCCAAAUUCCUGUCUGGAAAUUACAGGAGUUGCCCAUGAGAGCAGCAAUCUUAGUGUUUCCCCAAGCAUUUAAGCAGAGGCAGGAGAAGCAUCUGUUAGAGGUGGUGUGCAGUGCACGCCUAUCCUGAGUAAUAAGUUUGUAUUAGUCUGUACCACUUAAUCACUACUGCGUAACAAAGUACCCCCAAAACUUGGUGGCUUAACCAACAAUCAACAUUGAUUCUCUCUCAGGUCCUAAAGGACAAGAAUCUGAAAGUGCACUUUUAUGCAGAAACGUAAAAAUACAACAAACUAGUGAAUAUAACAAAAAAAAAAAAAUAGAAGCAGAUCACAAACCAGCAGUUACCAGUGGGGAGAGAGAAGGAAAUAUAAGGAUGGGGGAGUGGGAGGCACAAAGUAUAGGGCAUAAGAUAGGCUCAAGGAGGUAUUAUGCAACAUCGGAAUACAGCCAAUAUUUUGCAAUAAUUAUGUACGGAAAGCAACCCUGAAAUUGCAUUAAAAUGUUUUUAAAGUAUUUCCAAUUUUUUUAAAAGAAUUUGAGGAGUUCCCAUCGUGGCUCCGCAGUUAACGAACCCAACUAGCAUCCAUGAGGACGGAGGUUCGAUCCCUGGCCUUGCUCAGUGGGUUAAGGAUCUGGCGUUGCCGUGAGCUGUGGUGUAGGUCACAGACGAAGCUCAGAUCCCAUGUGGCUGUGGCUGUGGUGUAGGCAGUGGCUAUAGCUCCAAUUCGACCCCUAGCCUGGGAACCUCCAUACACUGCAGGUGCAGCCCUAAAAAGACCAAAAAAAAAAAAAGAAUUUGAAAAAGGUGCUGGUGGGAGUUUCUGGUAUGAAGGGGCAAUCAAGUUGUCAGCUGGGCCUGUCAUCAUCUGAAAGCUUGAGUAGGGCCAAAGGACCGGCCUGGCAAGUUGGUGCCAGGCUUUGGCAAAAGGCCUUGGAUCCUUCCACCAUGGACAUGGUCACAGGACAGUUUGCAUGUCUUCACAACACAGGAACUGGCUUCACCCAGAGCAAAUAUCCAACAUGAAAAUAACCAAGGUUUUUUAAUUGACCUAGACUCAGAAAUUACACCAGGGUCACUUUUAUAGUAUUCUACUGGUCACCCAGGCCAGCCAUGAGCCUGCGUGGGGGAGACAACACAAGGACAUGACAUGAAGGUGUCCAGUCCCCAUCCAGUAUGCCAGGAGCCUGGAAGUCCUCAGUCCCAUUCCUACAAGAAAAGUGUAUGCAUUCCUGAAUAACAUCAUGUCAGACUUAGGUGCAUAAAAUCCCAUCGUACACACUCUUUUGUGUCGUAUUUCUUUGCCUCAUCAUCAUGUUUGUAGGAUUCAUACAUAUUGCUGCAUGUAGCAGUGGUUUGGGUUUUUUUUUCGUUCCAUGGGAAGAAUACAGCACAAUGCAUUUGCCUGUCCUCCCGCUGAUGGACACUUGAGUCCUUUUGGGGACCACUACGAGCAUCCCUGUGAUGCACACACGCGUCUCUCUACAACACGCACCAGGAGCAGAGUUGCUGGGUGUGUGCAGGGCCAGCUCUAGUGCUGGUCUCCCUAGAGUUUGUACCCCUUCCAUUCCUACCAACACAGAGGAGAGAUUCCUUGGCUCCAUGUUGUCAAUACUUAGUUCCAGUGAGAUGGACCUUUCUGAAAAUGUGCAUCAGAUGAGCUUCACUCUCUUGCUUCAAGACCAUUUUACUUGCAAUAAAAUCCAAAUAUUCGACCCUGGGCCUCUGGGCCCCGACUCCCUCUCCACCCCUACCCAUGACCACCAGGGAGGCGCUUACCACCUACUAUGAUUGAGACACAUCAGCCUCGUUUCUGUUCCCAAAAUUACUAAGCUCAAGUUGGGGAACAGAUGAGGCUGGGGAAGGGGGCCAGGCUUGGAAGUUGCUCCAGGAACUUGUUCGAAUGUCUUUUACACAAGAUAUUACCCACCCCCCAGGGAGUCCCAGGCUCCAUCCCCUUGAAAUGUGGGCAUCUCCUUAGCACAGGUUCUAUGAAUUCUCCUUAUAGCACGGCCCUCAAAUUUAAGUCAACCAUGUCACCAGUAACAGAUCAGCCCCAACUCUGAUGCAGGAAGAAAACCUGCUGCUCAGAGAAGAAAAGAAAAAUAAGGAAUAAUUGAGCGUAUUGAUGAAGCCAGAGCAGAAAAAAACAGAGUGAACAAACAUGCUAGUCAGGAAGCUUUAAAAAGAUGGAGUUCCCGUCGUGGCGCAGUGGUUAACGAAUCCGACUAGGAACCAUGAGGUUGCGGGUUCGGUCCCUGCCCUUUCUCAGUGGGUUAAGGAUCCGGCGUUGCCGUGAGCUGUGGUGUAGGUUGCAGACGCGGCUCGGAUCCUGCGUUGCUGUGGCUCUGGCGUAGGCUGGCAGCUACAGCUCCGAUUCGACCCC